rnacentral:rRNA from 1 species
ACGCACGCUGGCGGCGUGCCUAAUCCCUGCCAGUAGAACGCACAGUUUAUACCGUAGCUUGCUACACCAUAGACUGUGAGUUGCGAACGGGUGAGUAACGCGUAGGUAACCUGCCUGGUAGCGGGGGAUAACUAUUGGAAACGAUAGCUAAUACCGCAUAAUAUUGAUUAUUGCAUGAUAAUUGAUUGAAAGAUGCUAUUGCAUCACUACCAGAUGGACCUGCGUUGUAUUAGCUAGUAGGUGAGGUAACGGCUCACCUAGGCGACGAUACAUAGCCGACCUGAGAGGGUGAUCGGCCACACUGGGACUGAGACACGGCCCAGACUCCUACGGGAGGCAGCAGUAGGGAAUCUUCGGCAAUGGACGAAAGUCUGACCGAGCAACGCCGCGUGAGUGAAGAAGGUUUUCGGAUCGUAAAGCUCUGUUGUAAGAGAAGAACGGGUGUGAGAGUGGAAAGUUCACACUGUGACGGUAUCUUACCAGAAAGGGACGGCUAACUACGUG